GCGUGAGAGGCUGCCGGCUCUGUGGUGAUGGUUGUCCUCUUCUGACACUCGGUAGUCUGCAGAUCAUUGCCAAGUACCUCAGUCUCUUAGACUCUCACAACAUUCCUGAGAGACACUGUGCUGGGCUCUGCAGGAGGGGAAGCAAUCUUGAGGAAAGAGGCCAGACCUUGGGGCUCACAAAGGACAUCUUCUAUACCAGGCUAUCAGGAAGCACAAAGGAACAAGAGGAAAGAGAGCUCUCAUGUCUGGCUGGAGCCAUGGAGAUGAACAACUGCAGCCCAAAGAAGCCAAGGGCCUUGCCCCAUGUUGCCCUGUGAAUUAGAACUGCUGUUGAACAGCAGGAGUCACAGAUCACUGGGGCAGAAAGGUCCCAGCAGGUCCUCCAGAAAGCCGAGUGCUACGUAGGUCCUGUAAUAUUGCCACGGGAUUUCAUGCUUAUCUUCAUGCCUGAACUCUUCACAGGAGCCCUUGGCCCACAGAUUCCCAGGGCUGAUCAGAUACAAUGAUAAUAACCUCUUGUCCCCACAGCUUGUGGAGUGACUUGCCCCCUCAGCUCCUCUGACCAGCGAGACUUCACCUUGGAUUUCAGGUCUUGUUCAAGAAUCGCAUUCACCCCACACCUGGGCACUUGCCUGGUGUUUCCUCUCAGCAUGGAGCUGCAGGCAGUAUCUGCAGCUGGCAAGAGACCAGCAGAGGGAGAAAGGGGCUGGCUAACUGGAGUAAUCAUGAAAGGUUCCUGGGGAUAUUCCCAGAGAAGUCACCAAAUCCCCAGCAGAGAGCCUGACAGUUGGUGGGGACAAAGAGAUGGGAUCUGGGAUCCUCCCCAGUGCUGUGCAGCCCAAGCCUAGACCAACACAAGUGCUUGAUGUGGACGGGCGGGGUGGUGCUUGUAAUCCCAGAAGCUUGGGAGGCUGAGGCAGGAGGAUCAUGAGUUCAAAGCCAGCCUCAGCAAUUUAGCAAGGCUCUAAGCAACUCAGCGAGACCCUGUAUCUGAAUAAGAUAUAAAAUAGGGCUGGGGCCAGACGAAUGAGAAGUUAUACUCCAUUUAUGUAUUAUGUGUCAAAAUGCAUUCCACUGUCAUUAUUACUAAUUAGAAUAUAUAUAUAUAUAUUUGUGUGUAUAUAUAUACAUAGAUAUAUAUAUAGAUAUUUGGGCAACUCACUAGGUAGGCGGUGGUAUCACCCCCUAAAACAGGUACAAUUGGCACAUGCCAGUCAGAGACAUGGGGUAACUAAUGUUGAUGGGGCAGGGGUGGGCAUUAGGGAGACAGUAGCCCAGAAACCACCAGAGACCAGUAACCUGGGGUUGGGUGGUUGGUAAGAGUCUAGCCUUAAGAGCAUGUAUAUAGGGGCUUGAGUAGUAGCUCAGAGGUAGAGAGCUUGCCUGGCAUGCAUGAGGCACUGGGUUCAACCCUCAGCACCACAUAAAGUAAAAUAAAGACAUUGUGUUCACCUAUAACUAAAAAAUUUUUUAAAAGCAUAUAUAUUAGGGGGCUGGGGAUGUGGCUCAGUGGUUAAGCGCCCCUUGUUCCCUGUACCCCUGUACCCCUCCCCCAAAAAGUGCUUGAUAUUUAGAACAAACAACUGUAUAUGCAAAUCAUUUGGUAAUCAUAUGCAGAUUCUGUAGGAUGAAGUGGGGUCAGGGAUCCCAGGCAACGGCUGUGAUCCACAGAUGGGUGUGCGCAGUACAGGGUUCUAUAGUACCUACUCUUCAAACUUUCCUAAAGGAACAAUGUUGGACUGAUUUACCUUGCACACCUGCUUCUUGAAGCAGCUCCUUUAUAGACUUGUCUAAUAAAAACCAUCUCAACGCACCAUCUCCACGCACCCUACACGGAUUU